UUCUUUUGGUCUUAUGCAUGGCUAAGCGUGAAGUCAUCAUCUUUGAUUCUUUGAGGCAGAAGCGAAAUUUAGCAAUUAAGUUUGCAAUGACAAAUGCUUUUCGAAGUUUCAAGGCAUUAAGUGGACAAUCUAGGGGAAGUAAAUUGACAUGGCAUUUGGGACAGUGUCCUCAACAAUUGGGUGGACGUGAGUGU